rnacentral:rRNA from 1 species
UACGUAGGGUGCGAGCGUUAAUCGGAAUUACUGGGCGUAAAGCGUGCGCAGGCGGUUUUGUAAGCCAGAUGUGAAAGCCCCGGGCUUAACCUGGGAAUGGCAUUUGGGACUGCAAGGCUUGAGUGCGGCAGAGGAGACUGGAAUUCCCGGUGUAGCAGUGAAAUGCGUAGAGAUCCGGAGGAACACCAGAGGCGAAGGCGGCCGGCUGGACCUGACCUGACGCUGAGGCACGAAGGCGUGGGGAGCGAACGGG